AAUGAACGCUGGCGGCAGGCCUAACACAUGCAAGUCGAACGAGAAACCACCUUCGGGUGGUGGAAAGUGGCAAACGGGUGAUUAACGCGUGGGAAUGUACCUCUUGGCUCGGGACAGCAGUUGGAAACGACUGCUAAUACCGGAUAAGCACUACGGUGGAAAGAUUUAUCACCGAGAGAUCAGCCCGCGCUAGAUUAGCUAGUUGGUAAGGUAAUGGCUUACCAAGGCUACGAUCUAUAGCUGGUUUGAGAAGAUGAUCAGCCACACUGGGACUGAGAUACGGCCCAG
rnacentral:rRNA from 1 species